rnacentral:rRNA from 1 species
GAUGAACGCUAGCUACAGGCUUAACACAUGCAAGUCGAGGGCAGCAUGAACUUAGCUUGCUAAGUUUGAUGGCGACCGGCGCACGGGUGAGUAACACGUAUCCAACCUGCCGAUGACUCGGGGAUAGCCUUUCGAAAGAAAGAUUAAUACCCGAUGGCAUAGUUCUUCCGCAUGGUAGAACUAUUAAAGAACUUCGGUCAUCGAUGGGGAUGCGUCCCAUUAGCUUGUUGGCGGGGUAACGGCCCACCAAGGCGACGAUGGGUAGGGGUUCUGAGAGGAAGGUCCCCCACAUUGGAACUGAGACACGGUCCAAACUCCUACGGGAGGCAGCAGUGAGGAAUAUUGGUCAAUGGGCGCGAGCCUGAACCAGCCAAGUAGCGUGGAGGACGACGGCCCUACGGGUUGUAAACUCCUUUUAUAAGGGGAUAAAGUUGGCCAUGUAUGGCCAUUUGCAGGUACCUUAUGAAUAAGCAUCGGCUAAUUCCGUG